UUGUAUAAGCAAACUUUCUCCCGUUCUCCGUCCAUUUUUCACUAAAGCCCUUCAUAUUUUUCAUAUUACUAUCUUUCCAGUAUGCAAAGCGGCGCCAAGAAGAAGCCCCGCUCCUCCGCCACCACCACCUCCUCCGGCGCCGGCGCCAGCGCAGGCGACGCUGCCGUCGGAGUCCGCCAUGCAUGGGCGGAGCUCCCCGACGCACUCCUCGUCUCCAUCCUCGGCCUCCUCCUCUCCCACCGCGACCUCCUCUCCUUCUCCUCCGUGUGCCGCUCAUGGCGCGUCCUCGCCACCACCGCCGCCCCACUCCGCCACCUCCCCCCUCUCCUCCUCCGCCCCUCCCACCUCACCCCUCUCCUCCGCCGCCACCGUAACCCUAACCCUACCUUCAACCUCCUCGACCCCUCCUCACCACACUCCGUCGCCCGCUCCUCCCCGCUCUCCCCCCAAACCCUCUCCCUCCCCUUCCUCGGCCUCUCCCAUGGCCGCCUCAUCCUCCUCCUCUCCGUCACCGGCGCCGAGCUCCGGACCCCGCCCCUCCCUCCUCCCAACACUAACCUCCACUUCGGUCUCCUCACCGCCCCACUCGCCGCCCCCGAGUCCUCCCUCCUCCUUCUCGGAUACGACUCCUUCCUGUUCCAAUGGCGCCCCGGGUCCCCCGAAUGGCUCCGGACCCCUUUCCGCGUCGCCCCGACCAUCACCCACAUCGUCCCCUUCGAGGGCCGGGUUCUCGCCAUGGACGACGCUGAGCGGCUUUUCGUCAUACACCUGGCGGGCGAUGCCGAUUCCUGUGUAACGGAGCUGGAGGUGAGCUGGGUGGGGCAAAAGAUUGCGCCUUUCUCGCUAUGUCGCUACUUGAUCGUGUGCGGCAGUGAGCUCCUGCUGGUUCGGUUCGUUCCGUCGAAAAUGAUGCUGCAUUUGGGGAUCGAAGCCCUCAGGUUGGAUCGGUUGGAGCCGUGGAGAUGGGUGAAAAUGGAGAGCUUAGGCGAUCGGGCGCUCUUUAUUGGUGAAAAUUAUAGAACCCUAGGAUUUUCAUGUGAUUCUCCAAAGAAAUGGGGAGGAGAGAGCAAUUCCAUCUACUAUGCUGGUUCAGGGAAUCAGCCUUGGAGUGUGCUUCGAUUGGGCGACGCCGCGAUCGAUCUGAGUGACCCGGAAUUGACGCUAAUUAAGGAUGGUUCUCCACUUUCGCGGACGCCAAAGUGGUUUUACCCAAGUUUGUACGGAGGAGGCCAAGGUCAUGGCGCGUUGCGUGCUAGCGAGCCGACGGCUUAGAGGCUCCUUGUUGAGAAACCAUCAUGACUAUAUGCGUAUCAUUGCAUACAUCGUAUGAAUAAUAAAGUAGGGGUGAGCGGGUGCGGCCUCGAGUAGUUAGCGGUGGAAAUACUCUGUUUAGAGGCAUUUUGGGUUGUAUAUUUUUGAAAACUAAAACACCAAAAAUAUAUUAUGUUAAGUUGAAUAUGGAAUGUAAACUUGUAGUAACUUGUGUAAUGUGUGGGGGUGUGAACUAAUGUUUAAAUCGAAUAGUCGAUAUUUUGUAAUCUCUUGGAAAGAUUUAUUUUACGAGCUAAAAUGUAAUGUUAUGUCUAGUUUUUGGUAUACUUUUUACAAAAUAGUGAAAGCUAGUAAUCUAUACCUCUAUACCUA